GACGUAGGGCGCGAGCGUUGUCCGGAAUUAUUGGGCGUAAAGAGCUCGUAGGCGGUCUGUUGCGUCGGCUGUGAAAACCCGGGGGCUCAACUCCGGGCCUGCAGCCGAUACGGGCAGACUGGAGUACUGCAGGGGAGACUGGAAUUCCUGGUGUAGCGGUGGAAAUGCGCAGAUAUCAGGAGGAACACCGGUGGCGAAGGCGGGUCUCUGGGCAAGUAACUGACGCUGGAGGAGCGAAAGCGUGGGAGGCGAACAGGA
rnacentral:rRNA from 1 species